CAAGGCCCCCGCAACUGACGGGCUAAUGUGGAACUCACCACAGGGGAGCGGGGAGCAGCCUUUUUGCCGACCGUCUGGGCAGUGUCG
rnacentral:ncRNA from 2 species